UACAGAGACCUCAAGCGUUAUCCGGAUUUAUUGGGCGUAAAGGGCAGGUAGGCGGUUUUGUUAGUCGGAUGUUAAAGCUCGGGGCUCAACCCCGAAUCUGCAUUCGAAACGGCAAGACUAGAGGAUGUGAGAGAUCAGUGGAAUUGAUGGUGUAGUAGUGAAAUGCGUUGAUAUCAUCAAGAACACCCAAGGCGAAGGCAACUGAUUGGCACAUAUCUGACGCUGAGCUGCGAAAGCGUGGGGAGCGAAUGGG
rnacentral:rRNA from 1 species